AGGGUGCAAGCGUUAAUCGGAAUUACUGGGCGUAAAGCGCACGCAGGCGGUUUGUUAAGUCAGAUGUGAAAUCCCCGGGCUCAACCUGGGAACUGCAUCUGAUACUGGCAAGCUUGAGUCUCGUAGAGGGGGGUAGAAUUCCAGGUGUAGCGGUGAAAUGCGUAGAGAUCUGGAGGAAUACCGGUGGCGAAGGCGGCCCCCUGGACGAAGACUGACGCUCAGGUGCGAAAGCGUGGGGAGCAAACAGGAUUAGAUACCCUGGUAGUCCACGCCGUAAACGAUGUCGACUUGGAGGUUGUGCCCUCGAGGCGUGGCUACCGGAGCUAACGCGUUAAGUCGACCGCCUGGGGAGUACGGCCGCAAGGUUAAAACUCAAAUGAAUUGACGGGGGCCCGCACAAGCGGUGGAGCAUGUGGUUUAAUUCGAUGCAACGCGAAGAACCUUACCUGGUCUUGACAUCCACAGAACUUUCCAGAGAUGGAUUGGUGCCUUCGGGAACUGUGAGACAGGUGCUGCAUGGCUGUCGUCAGCUCGUGUUGUGAAAUGUUGGGUUAAGUCCCGCAACGAGCGCAACCCUUAUCUUUUGUUGCCAGCGGUCCGGCCGGGAACCCAAAGGAGACUGCCAGUGAUAAACUGGAGGAAGGUGGGGAUGACGUCAA
rnacentral:rRNA from 1 species